GGCCUUUUGGGAGCUCACUGGCUUUGGGUUCCAUCGGAACUCCGAAGUUAAGCGAGUUUGGGCGAGAACAAUCCCAGGAUGGGUGACCCACUGGGAAGUUCUCGUGUGAAUUCCCAGAGACAAAACCGCGAAGGUGUGGUCGGGGCUUACAACGGACAAUAUCGUGCUAUGGCGAAGUCAAGCCCAGGAUGUGGUGGGGGCCCGGGCCGGGAUGUGACAAUUUGGUAUCAGAGCCAAUCUCUGACUGGAUGUGUGCUAGCAAGGACGUCGGGCCUCUAAGGAGGGUGGAUUGUAACAUCCCACAUCGUCCAGGGGAGUGGAUCCUGUAAGCCUUAUAUGUAUAUUCCCAUCUCUACCUAGCACGAGGUCUUUUGGGAGUUCACUGGCUUUGGGUUCCAUCGGAACUCUGAAGUUAAGCGAGUUUAGGCGAGAGCAAUCCCAUGAUGGGUAACCUAUUGGGAAGUUCUCGUGUGGAUUCCC
rnacentral:sRNA from 1 species